GUGGGGAAUAUUGGACAAUGGGGGGAACCCUGAUCCAGCCAUGCCGCGUGUGUGAAGAAGGUCUUCGGAUUGUAAAGCACUUUAAGUUGGGAGGAAGGGCAGUAAGUUAAUACCUUGCUGUUUUGACGUUACCGACAGAAUAAGCACCGGCUAACUUCGUGCCAGCAGCCGCGGUAAUACGAAGGGUGCAAGCGUUAAUCGGAAUUACUGGGCGUAAAGCGCGCGUAGGUGGUUCAGUAAGUUGGAAGUGAAAUCCCCGGGCUCAACCUGGGAACUGCUUUCAAAACUGCUGAGCUAGAGUACGGUAGAGGGUGGUGGAAUUUCCUGUGUAGCGGUGAAAUGCGUAGAUAUAGGAAGGAACACCAGUGGCGAAGGCGACCACCUGGACUGAUACUGACACUGAGGUGCGAAAGCGUGGGGAGCAAACAGGAUUAGAUACCCCAGUAGUCC
rnacentral:rRNA from 1 species